AUGCUUGCUUCAGUAGCACAUAUAAUAAAAUUAGAGUAACAUGGAGAAGAUUAGCAUGGGCCUUGCACAAGGAUGACUCAAUUAAGAAGACGGGGCGCCUGGGUGG
rnacentral:snRNA from 1 species